UACGUAGGGUGCGAGCGUUAAUCGGAAUUACUGGGCGUAAAGCGUGCGCAGGCGGUUCGUCGUGUCCGAUGUGAAAGCCCCGGGCUCAACCUGGGAAUGGCAUUGGAAACUGGCGGACUCGAGUGUGGCAGAGGGGGGUGGAAUUCCGCGUGUAGCAGUGGAAUGCGCAGAUAUCAGGAAGAACACCCGUGGCGAAGGCGGCUCUCUGGGACGGUACUGACGCUGAGACGCGAAAGCGUGGGGAGCGAACAGG
rnacentral:rRNA from 1 species